GUUCAAUUGUAUCAUUUUAAAUAUAAAAAGACUUUCGUCAUAGUUAAUUCAAAACCAGCUCCUACGGUGUCUGAACUUUUAGCUUUACUUGGCAAAGAUUCAAAAUGUACGACUACUCCAGCACCGAAUUGCGAUGACCAUACGGAACCUGAUAAGCAAGAUUCAAAUGAAAACAAAGAUCCUAAAGAUUGUAGCGAUUAAAAUUAAUAAUGUACUUUAAAA